GCAUUCCUCCUUGACAAAACCCACCCACUGGUACAAGCCAAUGCGGGCGAGGCAGUCAUUCUAAGAGAAGCAACAAUGCUAAACAAGGGCAGAACAAGAUCACAUGAGACCCCAUGCCAAUGUCAAGUUCCUCUUUGUCGUAGCCCACCAUUUGGUGGAAGCCAGUCUUCCAAAGAGAAGCAAGAACACGGAACUAGAAUCACAUGUUACCCUAUAUGCCCACGUCUGGUUCCAUAUCCAUGAUACCACGCAGUACUCAAUGGCCCACACAACCAACGCAAGCAUUAGCAAUGUGGUUCAAAGACACUGCUUCAAGGUUCAUCUCAUGCAUUGUAAAAUGACACAAGAUGAAAACAACUUUGAUCGAUCAAAAAUAAUACCGUCACUUAGGUAGCCAGCACAGGAAACCCCCAUUCCGCCUAGGCAAUACAAGCCUAAACAGACAACUGAAAAGGUAUGCAAGGUGGAAGUUGUU
rnacentral:misc_RNA from 1 species